GAUACUGGCGGACGGGUGAGUAACACGUGGGUAACCUGCCUGUAAGACUGGGAUAACUCCGGGAACCGGGGCUAAUACCGGAUGCUUGAUGAACCGCAUGGUUCAAUUAUAAAAGGUGGCUUUUAGCUACCACUUACAGAUGGACCCGCGGCGCAUUAGCUAGUUGGUGAGGUAACGGCUCACCAAGGCGACGAUGCGUAGCCGACCUGAGAGGGUGAUCGGCCACACUGGGACUGAGACACGGCCCAGACUCCUACGGGAGGCAGCAGUAGGGAAUCUUCCGCAAUGGACGAAAGUCUGACGGAGCAACGCCGCGUGAGCGAAGAAGGCCUUCGGGUCGUAAAGCUCUGUUCGUUAGGGAAGAACAAGUACCGCAGUCACUGGCGUACCUUGACGGUACCUAACGAGGAAGCCACGGCUAACUACGUGCCAGCAGCCGCGGUAAUACG
rnacentral:rRNA from 1 species